ACACACACACAUCAACCCAUUGACCCCCUCUCUCUCUCCUUCCCUCUCGAGUUUGCUUCCAUUUCCAUACAAUUGUACGGACAAUCUCUCAAAUCUACUUUUUCAUGCACGGAUUGAGUUUGUAAACGCCAUCAUCACCUUCCUUGUAACCAUACAAACUCAACCAUACCCUUGGUGGGACGUGAGGGCUUCGGGAACCUCUGGAACUAAAAGCUCCGAUGAGGAGCAAUGUUCACUUGUCGUGAUCGCAUUGGUUUCAGAAACACUCGGGUUUAGUGAGUUACAAGGUGGCGGGAUUAUCGUGACUUUUUCUCGCGAAUUUCCGGUGGAUUUAGGACCUAAAAGUGAAUCCGGCAAUCACAGUGGUGCUAGCAUCGGACUCCGGCGAACAAAGGAAGAAGGAGGCGAAUAUUCCGUCAAAGUUGACGGAAUAUUCUAACGGCGUUAGGUAUCUUUAACAGUUUAUGCUAAUUUUUAACGGAAUAUUCCCUAACGCCGUUAGGGUUUCCGUCCAGCGUGCCAUGCCUUGGCCGAGCGUGUAGCCAUGCCUUGGCCGGCGCGUGAGGGCUCAUGGGACGUCGAAAAAAAUUUCUAAAAAUAUUGGGAUGUUCGUGGGGUUAAGCAGGUCACGAUGGUGAGACCUAUCCAGAGCACAAGCGCAAUCAAGCGAGACUCGGGGGCUACGACCUUUCCACGUAUCAGUGAGUGGGCUUUUGGUUUUCAGUAAAUACUUAUACUUGGUAAUUUUCCCAGAAAAUGUGUUUAAAUGAAAUUAUGUUUUGAAAUGUCAUGUCUAUCGAUUUAUACUUCGAUUAUGAAUUAGUAUAGUAAUUGCAUAGAUCUAUGUUCGAUGCUAUGGUUGCUCAGGUAAGUGUCAGGAGACUUGUAGAUUGUUAAUGUGAGUUGAUGAUUAUUUUGAGAUGCAUUGAGAGCUCAUAAA